rnacentral:tRNA from 1 species
GAAUGUAAUUUAAUGGUAAAAUGCCAGCUUGCCAUGCUGAUAAUGGGGGUUCGAUUCCUCCCGAGUUUCG